ACCUCUGUUCCAGUCUUGUGAAAUUGUCAACAUCUCUGAAUUUAGCCGAGUAAAUCCGUCUCUCAGAUAACCCACUUCAGGCUUUACUCAAAACCUCUGGGCCAAUCUGUGAGCUGUGAGGAAAAUACCAAACCGCUAAUUAACAAAAGCUAUCUUGGCUAUGAUUUAGAAAUAAACUCUAAUUUAGUCCUGAAAGCAAUUAAGCGAGUCUGUAAUGUUAAAACAAAUGAUAGCAGAAGGUUAAUGGGAAGGGAAUUGAAAUUGAGAUUAUGCUGAUUAAAGCCAACUGUCAUGUGGUCAGAUGGAAGCAGAACGAAAUGAGGGACUGAAACACAGACGCUCACAGGAAGCCAAGGUUGAGCUGAGCAGGGACUGUUGAGGGGAAAACAGAGCACCUGCAGUGAGACCAGGGGAAAAUACUGCAUCAAGAAAAUUUCUUCAAGCCAAAUCCCAGUCAUGGUGUGAUUUAUGGGGACGCAGUAACACAUGGGACGUCAGAGCCAAUCAUCAUUCAUCUCUAAAGAAAGAACAGCUCACGGUUGAGCUCCCAUGGGCAGCACCCCCAGCAGAACAGGUCAGAGGAGACCAGGGUCAUUCUGCCUAUGCUGUACAUUUUCAUGUCCCCAUCAUGUCUAAAGAAGAAAAUCAUAUUCUCUAGUUGCUAGAAAAACAGGCAAUUUAUUAAGAAAUAUUUGAAUGUUUCUUCAUUGUUCCUUUACUAAUCAAUGUUUCUUCAUUGUUCAAUGUUGUUUCUCCAGUGUUUCAUUGUUCAAUGUUGUUUCUUCAAUUUUUCUUCAUUGUUCCUUUACUAAUCAAUAUUUACACAAUACGUUUUCUUGAGAAUAUUGGUUUCCUGUUUGGAUCCCGAGUGCACAAUAUUACUUUUCAUCCAGUUAGUAAUAUCCCUUAACUAACAUAAACCCAUUCCUUAAUGACAUCAUCAUACAGGAAGUGACAUCAUUUUGGAAGGAAAACCAGCACUGGUCACUAAGUAUAGAGCGCUGCAAGGCUAGUCUUGUAGUUAGCAUCACCCUGGUUCCCUCAACAAAAAGACAAUAGGAUUUUCCACUGGAUUAGAUUUUUGCAACAACAAAAAAGCAGCUCUGUGACGAACAGAAGUUUAUGAUGCAUGCAAGUUUUAUUCAUUAUAAUAAUCUUAACAAAUGAACACAAUUUGUAUAAAUUUUGAAGCCAAU